UACAGAGGGUGCAAGCGUUAAUCGGAAUUACUGGGCGUAAAGCGCACGUAGGCGGUCUUUUAAGUCGGGGGUGAAAUCCUGGAGCUCAACUCCAGAACUGCCUCGAUACUGGAAGACUCGAGUCCGAGAGAGGUGAGUGGAACUGCGAGUGUAGAGGUGAAAUUCGUAGAUAUUCGCAAGAACACCAGUGGCGAAGGCGGCUCACUGGCCCGGUACUGACGCUGAGGUGGCGAAAGC
rnacentral:rRNA from 1 species